rnacentral:rRNA from 1 species
UACAGAGGGUGCAAGCGUUACUCGGAAUUACUGGGCGUAAAGCGUGCGUAGGUGGUUCGUUAAGUCUGAUGUGAAAGCCCUGGGCUCAACCUGGGAAUGGCAUUGGAUACUGGCGGGCUAGAGUGCGGUAGAGGGCAGUGGAAUUCCCGGUGUAGCAGUGAAAUGCGUAGAGAUCGGGAGGAACAUCUGUGGCGAAGGCGACUGCCUGGACCAGCACUGACACUGAGGCACGAAAGCGUGGGGAGCAAACAGG